GGUCAAGCUGUCUGGUCUAGUCUAGAGUCCACUGCUGGGCUGCCUAGUACACACAUAGGUGUACACACUCACACACACACACACUCAUGCACAUAUAGACAGACACACACACACACACACCAGUCAUUGCAUCUGGAGGUAAUAUCACGGAAACACACACACACACCAAUCAUUGCAUCUGGAGGUAAUAUCACGGAGCGGCUGCAGCUGUCUACGUACAGGAUGGUAUAUAGUACCAAAAUGUAAAAACCAAAAUGGUAAAAACCAUUUCUCCCCAGACACAGUCUUGAUACAGUCCAGAUGUAGCUCCUUACAGCCUGCAACCUGGGCAUAACUGUCCAUCACAUCUGGUGUGAACUGGUAGAGAAAAGCAAGGUGGAAAUGUUACCCGCACUGUACAUCGGUCGAAGGUCCCGAGCACAGGCUGUUUUCUUCUGGACAGAAAAAGUGACACACGCGUCCUUGUUGACAUGUUGCCCUGGAUGUGAACUGAACUCCUUAAUAAGUCUGUCUGGUGGGCACAGCUUCUGCCUGAUUGAAUGACUUCUGUGUUCCAGUGUGCUUCUGGGCCAGGCUUAAGAGAGAAAAAGAAGUGUUUUCAUGUGAUGUGUAUGUAUUUGUGCGCUACUCAUCUUGGAGAGUGAUGGAAAAAUCUCAAGACCCUCUUAGCUAAGCUUGGGAGUUUUCUGGUGACAUAACUACCUUUAAUAUUACUAAAAUUCCUUUCUCUUCUAUGUGUGAAGAAUACGUUUAUAAGUUUUCAAUGCCAGAAUUGUUGGAUAAGUAUGAUUUUUAUUCACCAUGACCCACUAAAGUAAACUGUCCAGAGCUUUGGGGCAUUUUAAUUUCUUUAGUUCUAAAUUUAAUAAUCUGCAGGAGGUUUGUGUGGUGAAAAAUAAACAGAAGUGAGAGUAUAGUUGAAUCUGUCCCUAACGUGCCCUGGACUGUAGUCCCAGCCUUCUCAGGCUACAUUCAAAUCAAAUUUUCUUAUGUCCAUUUUUUCAACUUCAUUUAACAUGAACUUAUUGAAUGUCUACUACGUUUCAGGCAUUGCUGUAGGCAUUGUAAAUAUAACAAAACAGACAAGUUUCUGCUUUCAAGUAGCUUACCUUUUAGUGGAAGGACACUGAAUAGAAAGGGCAAGCUGUUCAGCAAAAUCCAGUCUCCUCUACUUUGGACACACACCAAAACUCUAUUUCCCAAUAUUUCUUAAAGUUAUGUAUGAUCAAAUUACCAAGCCCUUUCCAACCCAACGAGCAAAAGUGAUGUGUUCCGGACCUGGACAAUGAACACCUCCAUGUAUAUCCCUUCAUGACUAUUAGCUUCUGCUUACUGGAUUCAGAAAUGAUGGAGCCACAGAAUGGAAGGAGUGUGGAUCCCUGAAUGACUGCAUGGAGGAGAACCAACCUGCCAACUUCAGUAUCUACCUAGGACUACUAGACCUUCCUGGAAAUAAAUCAUUUGAACAGACAAUUGAAGGAAGCGAAGAUAUGAGUCAGCCCUGAAAAUCUUAGGCAGAGGAGAGAGGUGCUGAAGAUGAAGGAAGAACCCAGAUAAAAAUGGGGAAAAUGAUCAACGUAGAAGAUGGCAGCCAGACUUGAAACGACACAGAAGGGAAGCAGUUCUUCUGAAAAAGGAGACGUGCUGAGUAAACAGUCCCUGAAGUGCUCCUGGCUGGGCUCCAGAUGAGUAAUGAUUUAUGAACGGGAAAUCUGGGUCGGCCGGGCUUCAGUCCCGCGGCGCAGGGAGAUGGAAACCAGAUGCGGAGGCUUCAUCCAGAGGCCCAGGAGCGGCAGCAAGGAGGGGGUGAGGGUGCAGAGAGGGACACAGAACCACGAAGGGCACAUGUGGCGCGGGGAACACACAGAGAGGGGAGGAGGAGAAGACAGAAAAGAGGAGGGAGAGGAGAGAAUCAACCAAGCCGUCACUCUUGGAAAUAAAACACCCUUCAGAGUUAACUCAGAAAACGUUUCCUCAGCCAGAAAACCUGGUGCUUCCUCAGAAUAUACGUUUUGUUUUCAUCUACGUUCCCAUGGAAACCAGCUAAAAAAGUUCAGACACAUUUGUUGACUUCAACUACUUGGAGUACAGAGACCGUGUCUGUGUGUGUGUCUCAAUAUACACAACGUGUUUCCAAAUAUGUUUCAAUGAAAUGCUGGUUCUCUUCCAAUUAAAUCUCUGCGAGAGUUCAGUUUCCUAAAAGCUAAAAAGAAUUGAUUUUUAAUGCAAUUCUGCCAAAGAGAAGAAAAUUUAAGUGUGUAUUCUUCCUAUUGCCAAACUGUCCAAUACAAAGCAAAUCAGACAUCUAGAACAGGGAUCAGCAAACUAUGGCCAGUGGGCAAAUUUUGGCCCACAAACUCUUUCUGUAUAGUCCACAGGUUAAGAGUGGGUUAUUUAUUUAUUUAUUUUUGGUUGUUGUUGCUUUGCAUUUUUUAAAAGUUGUAACAAAAAACGAGAAGAUUAUAAAACAGGAUUGUGUGUGGCCCACAAAGCUGAAAAUAUUCACUCUCUGGUCCUUUACAGAAAAGUUUGCUAAGCCCCGAUCUAGAAUAUGAUGCUUUUGCCAGUGAAGCUGUUGUACAUGAUAACAGGUCAGCUGGGUAAUAAUUUCUAUAAAUGAAACGAUUCUUAGAAAUAUUGAUAUAGACCCAUAGAGUGCUUUGGUGUAAACACUCAUUUGAUCACUUCACGCUAAGCCACUGAGCUCCGCCCUCGAAGUGGGGAAAGCUGGCGAGUAGCACGCGGGGGUAGACGAGCUCUCCCUGGCCACGCCGAGGGGAAAGCACAUGACGUUCUGGGUCUGUGCAGAGCUGCAGCGGCUCCCAAAUACAGUGCUGGCACUCAUCUCUCAAACCUCGUAAAGGAGCAUGAGCAAUGGACAGUGAAAAGUCACAGAAGAAUGUAUCCUGGGCUUUGGAGAGACCCAAAGAAUAAGGCACUCAUGGAGAAGCAACAGAUUGUACCCUGGCUUUGAUCAAAGUGACCCUGACCAAAUAAUGAUGAGAAUAAUAAACAAAAACAAUAGCUAAUGGUGACUAAAAUUUAUUGGGUGUUUAUGGUGUGCCAGGCAUCAUGCUGAGCACUUUCCUUGAUUUACCUUAUUUAAUCCCCAUAAUGACCUUCUGAAAGCGGAGGAACAGACUCAGAGGUAAAACAACUCUUUCAGAGUGAAAUAGCUGUUAAGAGGCAGAGCCAUGG